rnacentral:tRNA from 1 species
GUCCUCGUAGCUUACAACAAAGCAUGACACU